rnacentral:rRNA from 1 species
AUUGAACGCUGGCGGCAGGCCUAACACAUGCAAGUCGAGCGGAGCGGCGGACGGGUGAGUAAUGCCUAGGAAUCUGCCUGGUAGUGGGGGAUAACGUCCGGAAACGGGCGCUAAUACCGCAUACUAUCAGAUGAGCCUAGGUCGGAUUGGCUAGUUGGUGGGUUAAAGGCCUACCAAGGCGACGAUCCGUAGCUGGCCUGAGAGGAUGAUCGGCCACACUGGAACUGAGACACGGCCCAGACUCCUACGGGAGGCAGCAGUGGGGAAUAUUCGGCAAUGGGCGAAAGCCUGAUCGAGCAACGCCGCGUGAGUGAAGAAGGUUUUCGGAUUGUAAAGCUCUGUAAUUAGGGAGGCGUUACCGAAAGAGAAAGCAACGGCUAACUUCGUGCCAGCAGCCGCGGUAAUUC